CAAUAGCGUAUAUUAAAGUUGUUGCAGUUAAAACGCUCGUAGUUGGAAUGGUGGCUUCGGGACGAUGGCGACGAGAGUCUGCUGUCCCCCAAAUGCCAUUUUCCUGUAGUUUUCUUUUGUUCUCUACGGGACUCUUACCUUGAGGAAAUUAGAGUGCUCCAAGCAAGCAAUCGCUUUGAAUAUUGCAGCAUGGUAUAACACUUUUGGUCCUAGGGUUUUCUUGGUUUUAACUCUAGUACAAUGUUCAAUAGGAGCGGUCGGGGGUAUCUGUAUUUAGUAGUCAGAGGUGAAAUUCUAGGAUUUACUAAAGACAAACAAAGGCGAAAGCAUUUACCAAGGACGUUUCCAUUAA
rnacentral:rRNA from 1 species